AUGUCAGACGCAGGCAAGGAGCAACCCAUGGAGAUGACGGGUGCCACUGAGAACAGGUAUGAGGCCGCCCUCGAGGGCGCAUCGGGCCAUGGGGCAGCUGGCCCAGGAGUGCGGCGCCUGUGAGCGGGAGCCAGAUGGUGCCAAGGGCGGCCAGAUCAAUGCCAGCAAGAACGAGGAGGACUCGGGGAAAAUGUUCGUUGGAGGCCUGAGGUGGGACACCAGCCAAAAGGACUUGAAAGCCUAUUUUACUAAGUUUGGAGAGGUCAUGGACUGCACGAUAAAGAUGGACCCCAACACCGGACGGUCGAGAGGGUUCGGGUUCACCCUGUUCAAAGAUGCAGCCUGUGUGGAGAAGAUCCUGGACCAGAAGGAGCAGAGGCUGGAUGGCCGUGUCAUUGACCCUAAGAAGGCUAUGGCUAUGAAGAAGGACCCGGUAAAGAAAGUCUUUGUUGGGGGUCUGAAUUCUGAAGCCACAGAGGAGAAGAUCAGGGAGUACUUUGGCAAGUUUGGGGAGAUUGAGGCCAUGGAGCUGCCAAUGGAUCCAAAGCUGAACAAAAGAUGAGGUUUUGUGUUUAUCACUUUUAAAGAGGAAGAACCUGUGAAGAAGGUUCUGGAGAAAAAGUUCCACAUGAUCCGUGGAAGCAAGUGUGAAAUCAAGGUGGCCCAGCCCAAAGAGGUCUAUCAGCCACAGCAGUAUGGUUCUGGGGUCCGUGGGAACUGCAUCUGAGGGAACCAAGGGCAGGGGCAAUGGCCGUGGAUGUCAGAGUCAGAGUUGGAAACAGGGAUACCGCAGCUACUGGAACCAGGGCUAUGGCUAUCAGCAGAGCUGGGGGCCAGCUAUGGUAGCUACCACUACUCACCCAAUGGCUAUGAUGGCUACGGCCCCAGCUACGACUACAGUCAAGACGGCAUAAACUGUGGCAAAAGCCAAUGGUGUAGGGGCCACCAGAACAACUACAAGCCAUACUGAGGCAGCGAGGAGUGACCAGCAGCUGUGCAUGUGCUUUGUCUGGGUAUAGAGUGAACACAAACAAUUAUGUACCAAAUUUAACUUGGUAAACUCUCUACAGCCUGUCCCAUGUGCACCUUAUUUAAAAUUCUCCCCCUGGAAAUCACUCUCCUGUUUACUCUUUCCAGAGCUCUAGUUGCUUAGGCAGUGUGUGGU